rnacentral:tRNA from 1 species
GAGAAGGUAGCUCAACCGGUCAGAGCGGCGGCCCCCUCCCCCCUCGGGUGCCGACGGUCGCGGGUUCGAACCCCGCCCUUCUCC